CAGUCGCCGCGGUAAAACGAAGGUCCCAAGCGUUGUUCGGAAUCACUGGGCGUAAAGGGAGCGUAGGCGGCGUGGUAAGUCAGAUGUGAAAUCCCGGGGCUCAACCCCGGAACUGCAUUUGAUACUGCCAUGCUUGAGGGUUGGAGAGGUGAGUGGAAUUUCCGGUGUAGCGGUGAAAUGCGUAGAUAUCGGAAGGAACACCUGUGGCGAAAGCGGCUCACUGGACAAUAACUGACGCUGAUGCACGAAAGCUAGGGGAGCAAACAGGAUUAGAUACCCGCGUAGUCCCUGUCUCUUAUAC
rnacentral:rRNA from 1 species